GCCAGGUGUGGUGGUGCAUGCCUGUAAUCCCAGUUACUUGGGAGGCUGAGGCAGGAGAAUCGCUUGAACCCGGGAGGCGGAGGUUGCAGUGAACUGAGAUUGCGCCAUUGUACUCCAGCUGGGCAACAAGAGUGAAACUCUGUCUCAAAAAAAAAAAAAAAAAAAAGAAAGAAAAGAAAAAGAAAAGAAUUACAAUUUUCUUUCUUUCUUUUUUUUUGAGAUGGAGUCUCACUCUGUCACCCAGGCUGGAGUGCAAUGGCACAAUCUCAGCUCACUGCAACCUCCGCCUCCCGGGUUCAAGCAAUUCUCUGCCUCAG
rnacentral:SRP_RNA from 1 species